GUGGCGGACGGGUGAGUAAUGCUUGGGAAUCUGGCUCAUGGAGGGGGAUAACUACGGGAAACUGUAGCUAAUACCGCGUAGUAUCGGAAGAUGAAAGUGUGGGACCGCAAGGCCACAUGCCAUGAGAUGAGCCCAAGUGGGAUUAGGUAGUUGGUUAGGUAAAGGCUGACCAAGCCGACGAUCUCUAGCUGGUCUGAGAGGAUGACCAGCCACACUGGAACUGAGACACGGUCCAGACUCCUACGGGAGGCAGCAGUGGGGAAUAUUGCACAAUGGGGGAAACCCUGAUGCAGCCAUGCCGCGUGAAUGAAGAAGGCCUUCGGGUUGUAAAGUUCUUUCGGUGAUGAGGAAGGUGUUUGUUUUAAUAGGACAAGCAAUUGACGUUAGUCACAGAAGAAGCACCGGCUAACUCCGUGCCAGCAGCCGCGGUAAUACGGAGGGUGCGAGCGUUAAUCGGAAUAACUGGGCGUAAAGGGCACGCAGGCGGUGACUUAAGUGAGAUGUGAAAGCCCCGAGCUUAACUUGGGAAUUGCAUUUCAUACUGGGUCGCUAGAGUACUUUAGGGAGGGGUAGAAUUCCACGUGUAGCGGUGAAAUGCGUAGAGAUGUGGAGGAAUACCGAAGGCGAAGGCAGCCCCUUGGGAAUGUACUGACGCUCAUGUGCGAAAGCGUGGGGAGCAAACAGGAUUAGAUACCCUGGUAGUCCACGCUGUAAACGCUGUCGAUUUGGGGAU
rnacentral:rRNA from 1 species